rnacentral:rRNA from 1 species
UGGGGAAUUGUUCGCAAUGGGCGCAAGCCUGACGACGCAACGCCGCGUGGAGGAUGAAGGUCUUCGGAUUGUAAACUCCUGUUGAUCGGGACGAAAAGCCUCAACCUAAUACGUUGAGGACUGACGGUACCGGUUGAGGAAGCCACGGCUAACUCUGUGCCAGCAGCCGCGGUAAUACAGAGGUGGCAAGCGUUGUUCGGAAUUACUGGGCGUAAAGGGCGCGUAGGCGGCCUCCUAAGUCGGACGUGAAAGCCCCAGGCUUAACCUGGGAACUGCGUCCGAUACUGGGAGGCUUGGAUUCGGGAGAGGGAUGUGGAAUUCCAGGUGUAGCGGUGAAAUGCGUAGAUAUCUGGAGGAACACCGGUGGCGAAGGCGGCAUCCUGGACCGAGAUCGACGCUGAGGCGCGAAAGCUAGGGGAGCAAACGG